rnacentral:misc_RNA from 1 species
AAGUCGUAACAAGGUUUCCGUAGGUGAACCUGCGGAAGGAUCAUUCACACUAAUUAACAGUGUAAUGUUAUUGCAGUAUACCCUAAACAAGUAUAUUGUAAUACAUUACAUUGCCAUACCAAACAGAACAAUAAACCCCUAUGUAAAUAAACCCCUAUGUAAAAUUCUUGGGCUAGCUUGUGCGUCGGCUGUGUGGUCGGCGUAUGAGCGACACCUUAUACCUUUUUUAUACUAUUUGCUCUAUAUAUGCGUUCAUUGCUAAUACGUGUAUGUUGGGAGUAUGCGGAUGUCUCGUGUAUGUACCCUCGGGUAUAUACGCUUGUAGCACGUACACUGUCAAUAUAUGUGUAUUAUUAUUGAAUAAUAUAAAAUAUAAAUUACAACUCUUUGCAAUGGAUAUCUUGGUUCUC